rnacentral:rRNA from 1 species
GUGCCAGCAGCCGCGGUAAUACGUAGGGUGCAAGCGUUAAUCGGAAUUACUGGGCGUAAAGCGUGCGCAGGCGGUUUUGUAAGACAGUGGUGAAAUCCCCGGGCUCAACCUGGGAACUGCCAUUGUGACUGCAAGGCUAGAGUGUGGCAGAGGGGGAUGGAAUUCCGCGUGUAGCAGUGAAAUGCGUAGAUAUGCGGAGGAACACCGAUGGCGAAGGCAAUCCCCUGGGCCUGCACUGACGCUCAUGCACGAAAGCGUGGGGAGCAAACAGGAUUAGA